rnacentral:rRNA from 1 species
UACGUAGGUGGCAAGCGUUGUCUGGAUUUACUGGGCGUAAAGAGCGCGCAGGCGGUCGUUCAAGUCGCGUGUGAAAGCCCCCGGCUCAACUGGGGAGGGUCACGCGAUACUGAUCGACUGGAAGGCAGGAGAGGGUAGUGGAAUUCCCGGUGUAGUGGUGAAAUGCGUAGAUAUCGGGAGGAACACCAGUGGCGAAGGCGACUACCUGGCCUGUUCUUGACGCUGAGGCGCGAAAGCUAGGGGAGCAAACGGG